rnacentral:other from 1 species
CAUACCCUGGAGUGCGCGUGUCGGGUGCCGUCGCUGGCCUCACAAGCAUUCAUUAAGGGACUUGCCGACGAUACGGUGUGCAUGCCCGGCCAGCACCGGGAAGCCUGAAGGUCGUCCAAUCGUCCCGCCGUGGGCAAAGUCAAGGUCCUGCGGGAGGGCAGCCGCACGGCUCAUCCGGGGUGACA